rnacentral:misc_RNA from 1 species
AACGCACAUUGCGCCCGCCAGCACUCUGGCGGGCAUGCCUGUCCGAGCGUCAUUUCACCCCUCAAGUCCACCCCCAGGGUGCUUGGUGUUGGGGGCCGGCCGGGAGAGCCCGCGCCGCCCCCGAAAUGCAGUGGCGACCCCGCCGCAGCCUCCCCUGCGCAGUAGCACACCUCGCACCGGAGCGCGGAGGCGGUCACGCCGUAAAACGCCCCAACUCUCACGAGUUGACCUCGGAUCAGGUAGGAGUACCCGCUGAACUUAA